rnacentral:rRNA from 1 species
UACGAAGGGGGCUAGCGUUGUUCGGAAUCACUGGGCGUAAAGCGCACGUAGGCGGAUCUUUAAGUCAGGGGUGAAAUCCCGAGGCUCAACCUCGGAACUGCCAUUGAUACUGGGGAUCUCGAGUCCGGGAGAGGUGAGUGGAACUGCGAGUGUAGAGGUGAAAUUCGUAGAUAUUCGCAAGAACACCAGUGGCGAAGGCGGCUCACUGGCCCGGAACUGACGCUGAGGUGCGAAAGCGUGGGGAGCAAACAGG